CUUUGGACCACGAUGAAAUUGCCAAAUGAUGCAUUUCUCGAAUGUAUCCUCAUUGUUAAGCAGCCCAUGAUUGUACUGUUUCUCUACUAGAAAUCCUAUCUCUACAUCCUCUCUAUGAAGUCUCCUUGCCCUUCAUCUCAGAAGUCCUCUCUCCCUCUUCUCAAAUCACAUUUAUUUCUACAAAGUGAAUAUCACUCAUCUUAUUCUGCCUUUUACUGGUGUACAUGUCUUUUGUUGAGCACGGUACCAUGUGCCAAGCACAAUGUACAUAAUAGAUGUUCAAGGCUGCAGUGAGCUAUAAUCAUGCCACUGCACUCCAGCCUGGGUGACAGGCUUUUUUUUUUUCUAAAAAGGAGAAAAUUGUGUGUGUGUGUAUUUAUAUAGAUAUAAUUACAAGUAAUUUUUUCCUUCCAAAUUUAUUUCAGAUUUUACCAAAUGUUGCAAGAACUCUGGAGUUCUUAUGGUAGUAAAAUGCCGGAAAGAAAAUUCUGCAUUGAAAGAAUGUCUAACUGCUUACUAUAAUGAUCCAGCCUUUUAUGAAGAAUGCAAAAUGGAAUACCUGAAGGAAAGGGAAGAAUUCAGAAAAACUGGAAUUCCUACAAAGAAAAGGCUACAGAAGCUUCCAACAAGCAUGUAGGCAGAUACUCAAAUGACAUUCAGGAACUCUAAUAUUCAUGGAAGUCAUUUUAUAGUCCUUAAAUAAUGGACUCAAGCAUAUAUGUUUGCUUUACCUUAAUUAUGGAAAUAUUAACUUUAUCUGAAAUAAAUAUUUUAUUUCACA
rnacentral:sRNA from 1 species